rnacentral:rRNA from 1 species
GAGUUUGAUCCUGGCUCAGAACGAACGCUGGCGGCAGGCCUCAAACAUGCAAGUCUAGGGGGUAGCAAUACCACCGGCGGACGGGUGCGUAACACGUGGGAAUAUACCUUUUGGUUCGGAACAACGCAGGGAAACUUGCGCUAAUACCGAAUGUGCCCUUACGGGGAAAGAUUUAUCGCCAAAGGAUUAGCCCGCGUCCGAUUAGCUAGUUGGUGAGGUAAUGGCUCACCAAGGCUCCGAUCGGUAGCUGUUCUGAGAGGAAGAUCAGCCACACUGGGACUGAGACACGGCCCAGACUCCUACGGGAGGCAGCAGUUGGGAAUCUUGGACAAUGGGGGAACCCUGAUCCAGCCAUGCCGCGUGAGUGAUGAAGGCCUUCGGGUUGUAAAC